UUGGUGGGUAUAUUUUCAUUGUACAGAUGGGUAGCCUUGGUGUUUGUGCAAACUUAUGAAUGUAUUAAUGCCAUUCAAUCAUACACUUACACGUGCAUGAUGGUAAAUGUUAUGUUUCCUUCAAUUAGCAUUUAUUAAUUAUACAAAAUAAUGAGUUUGCAUAGUGGUAUUGUCAGGCAUGCAUGCAAUAUCUUUUUGUGAGAGUCCAUGAUUCGCCAAAGAAUAACCUCAGAUUCAAACAGUAUACAAAAGCAAAGAGUGUUUUAUUCUGUAGAAGUCCAGCAUGCUGGGGUCUCCCUUUCCAAGAUGGAGACAACCAAGUUAAAGCAUAUUAGGAGAACUCUGGGGUAGGUGACCUUUAUCUUACUCAGUCUCUAGGGACAUUCGAGAAUCAUUACUGAGGCACUGGGGCUGGAAACUGUUGCUGACCCAUUGCCCUUGCUUCAGGCCAGGUGGAGGGCAACUUUUGAUGGCAGGGCAGUUUCUGACUGGCUUCCUGAAGCCUGUUUUUUGUUUUUUUUUUUGGUUUUUUUCCUAGUAAGUGACAUUCCUGGGCUUGCCCAGUUCUUGACUAGUCUCCUGAACCGGCAAUUUGAAGCACGUCAUGGAGUCAGUCUAGCCUUCUCAUUUUGAUCAUAUUCUCCCCACUAUGUGCUGGUUAGUUUCUUGACACACGCUAGGGUUGUCUGGGAAGAAGGAGCUGCUCUUGAGGAAAUGCCUCCAUCAGACUGGCCUUUUCUUGAUUAAUGGUUAAUGUGGGAGGGCCCAGUGGUCCUAGAAGGCUUAAGAAAGUGAGCUUGUGGGGCAAGCCAGGAAGCAGUGAUCCUCCUCACCCUCUGUUUCAUUCAGUUCCUGCAUCUAGAUUCAUCGCAUUUCUGCCCUGACUUAGAUUGAAAGCUGAAAAGGUAGAACAAACCCUUUUGAUUCUGGUCAGGGUGUCCUCCGAGUGCUGAAGAAAACAGACUAGGACACUGUGGUGGUUUGAAUAAGAAUGGCCCCCUUAGGCUCAGAUAUUUGAAUACUCAGUCAUCAGAAGCCGCAUGAUUUGAAAGGACUAAGAUUAGGGGAUCUGACCUUGUAGGAGGAAGUGUGGGAAGUGUCAGGGGAGUGUGCUCUGAGCUUUCUAAAGCUUGUGCCAAGUCUAGAGUCUCUUUCUUUACCCAGGGAUCAGGAUGCAGUUCUCAUAUCCCGCCAUGAUUAUAAUGGACACUGUAAGCAAGACCCCAAUUAAAUGCUUUCUCCUAACAACAAUUGCCUUGGUCAUGUUGGCUCUUCACCACAGUAGAACAAAGACCAAGAGAGACGCUCUAUCACACUCCCCUCCCCCAACCUCCUUCCCUUUUCUUUAACAGCCUUACUUUGCCUUCAAGUCUUUUCCCCUUCAAGCGUCUGUAAAUGAGAGGAAACACGCACCAUUUGUCUUUCUGAAUCUGGUUUGUUUUCCUUAAUAUAAUGGGUUCCAGUGACACCCAUAUUCCUGUAAAUGUGAUGAUUUCCUUCUUCUCUGUGGCAGAAUAAAACUGCAUUGUGAAUGUUUGUCACCUAUGCUUUAUCUGUGACCUCAUUGGCUGGCUCUAUGACCUCAUCAUUGUAAACAGUGACACCAUAAAUAUGGUAUUCUAACCUUGAAUCCUCUCAAUAGACACCCAGAAGUAGUGUAGCUAAAUGAUAUGACAACCACAGUUUUAGUAUUUUAGGAACUCCAUACUGAUUUCAAUAUGGCUACACUAAUGUCCAUUUGUAAAGAUCUCCCACCCUCUGUGCACAUCAGCAUCUUCCCUCUUGGUAAGAGCCAUUAUAACUAGGACUUGCUUUGAGCCUAAAAUCUGAUCUGGUUUGAAGAAAGUUUCAUGAACUGCUGAGAAGAACCCAUUUACCACAGGUAUUGGGUGAAAUAAUUCUGCUGGUGUCUUGUCUGUGUGUCUCGGAGGCAGAGUAUGAGGUGCUGUUGAUGGACUCAGGGUCUUCUUGCAUGCUUAGCAGUUUCUUUUGGUCACAGAUUCUGAACACAGCAACAAAAAUCUAGGAGAGUAGCUGAAUGGUGUUGGAGGAGCACAGAGGAGCCCUCCCAGUGGAUCCCUGUCUCCUGGGGUGAAGCUCCCAGGAAGUGGAUCUGGGGAAGCUCCAGCCAUGAGGACUAUGAAAAUAAACUGCCAACGAUGUGAAUGGGACAGAUUCAAAGUGAUGGAAGAUUUUCAGAGACCGCAGGUCACAAAUCUGGGAAGCUUUGGGUAUACUUAAUAUUGUUUAAGAUAUAAAAUAUGCUUUAUUAUCCCAGCUCCUCUUUUCUCUACUUGGCCUGGAUUUUCUAGCCACUGGCUUUUGACUCCCACCCUUGCCUUCCCUGUGCCCUGUGUGGUCACAAAGACACACAUGCAAAGACACACAGACUACCUCCCAAACACCUGACACAGAUACAGAUACACACAAACACAGAUAAACACACAUGACACAGAGACUGACACAGAGACAUAUACACGUACACAUACAUACUAACAGACAGACACACACAAGGGUUCAAGAACACCUGACAGACACACACAGAGACAGAUGCACAAGAGAGACUUACACACACACACAAAUACACAUGUUCAGGAACACAUAACAGACACAGAGAAACAUACAGACACACAAACAGAGAGACAAUACAUACACAGGUUCACGAACACCUGACACAGACACAGAUACACACAGAGACAGAUACAUACACAGACAUACAAGGAGACACACACACACACACACACACACACACACACACACACGUACGUUUAGGAGCAUCUAAAACCUGCCUCAUUGGGUUCUGAGGAAGGCUGAAAUCUACUUGGUUCUCAAACUCCAACCUGAUUUAUUCAGCUUCCCUGGGUGGCCUCAAAACUUGGUUCUGAAAGCGACACCCUCUCCUGUGGACUUGGCUGCCAGGUACACCACCUUCUUGGGCCAUCUCUUUUUCAGGUCUGAGUGGUUCUUGUCGAGCUCAGGGAAAGGUCUUGGUGGUCCACUGGUGCAGGAAGUAGCCCCGGAAAUAACAAGGACCCAGGACUUCCUGUUCUGCCUGCCCCUGUGCAGAUAAAAGGCAGAGAGAUCUGAGACAGGCUUGUGCUUACAGAGGCCGAUCCUAGGUUGUGCCCUCCCUGAGGUGUAUUUAAACAGAGACCAAGCUGUGCACAUGUGUGUGCCUUACAUGUGUUAACUGUGUGUAUGCAGAGGAGUCAGGCCCUGCAUCACUCUCUUGGAGACACUGCAAAGGGACCAGGCCUGGCCCUAUGGAAGCCAAGGCUGACCCAGGCAUUUUACUUGUGAUCCUGGAGGUCAUACACUCAAGGCUCUUCGAGACUAGACCUCAACCCAGUUAGACACACUGCUCUAAUGUGGAGCAGGCUUCCUUGGAAGGCUGUCUAGCCCCUGAGGUGCCUGAACAGACCCCGGCGGGCAUAGAGGGGCCAAGCUGGUUGCUGAAGUUCCUGACCUUCUCCUGAAGUCCAGUUCUGCCCACAGCUCUUCACUAUGUGCCUUUGACAGUAGCAAGGUGACAAUUCAGUUUCUCUGAAGAAGGUGCUCAGCUGGUAUAAGAUCUGGCUGUGAAUGUGCCAGGCUGAUGUCUCUGGGAAAGUCCAGCAGUCACUGUCUCCCUGGGUCCUGUACCCUCAAGGUUGGAGGCACUUAUGGGGCCAAAGGAAGGCCCUAUGUAGACUAUCCAGGCAGGAGGUGAUACAACCCAGCUGAGGUGAGUGAGCAGAUGAGGAAGACCAACGCUCUGUAGUCUAUUUGGAUGACACACAACAGAGAGGAUGCCAACACUGCCCCCGGAGAGACCUGUGAAAGGUCUGUACUCUGACUCAAAGAAGCACCUAAGCAGGAAAAGGCAUGUGUUAGUGGAGGGCAGGAAAGGUGAGACAGGCUGCAGGUGAUCUGUAUCUUCGAAGGACAGUCGUCACACCCAGGGCUACCCUGCCACCUCCCUUCUGUGUGGUGGGAAGUCUGAUGAGCAGCCUCCGCUUGGGGUGGAGCUCACCUCUCGUCACACCUCUCUGGUCUCCACCAUGAGGCACCACCUGCUUCCUGGACUUGAGAAGAUGGUGGAGUGACCCUCUGCUCCCAUUUGAGUUCUUGCUCCUUCCUCUGAUGGGCUCCUGUGUCCUGGUUUGUACCUCCAGGGACAGAUAGACACGGUGGCAGACAGACACAGCUGUCUUUACCAAACCUGGUUUUUUGUGCGUAGCCUGAAUGAUUGUCCCACAGGCUGGGACUUUUUUUUUUUAAAACCAUUCUUUAAACAGGAGUGUGGAUUUUGGAAAAGCUGUGGUCACUUUCUCCUGGGACACCAAUGAGGUGGACUCUAUUUUUACUUUUGAGAUUGUAUUUUAAUUACAACAUGUUUCCUUUCCCUUCCUUCCUCUAAACCUUCUCAUAUGCCCCUUCUCUCUCCUUCAAAUUCAUGGCCUUGUUUUUCUGUUAUUGCAUGCCUUUAUGUCUUCGUAUAUACAAAAAUAUUCCCAGAUAGAGCCUGUUGGUCCAUAUAAUGUUACUUGUAUGUGUAUUUUCAGGGCUGACAAUUUGGCACUGGACAACCAAUCGGGAUGCUCUUCCCUGGGCGGACCGCCUCUGCUGUGCCCAGCGUUACUCAGUUGCCUGUAGUUCUUUAUGUAGGCUGACCUCACCGUGGAUGGGCUUUCCUCCCCGUGCUGUUUGGCGUGUUCGCUGAGGUCCUUGUUCAGUUUACAUUUGGACAGUCAUGCUGGUGAGACUUUAUGGAUGUAGCUUAUGAUGUUGCUAGGAGACAGAUCUCACAGCAAAGUCCCUGAUCUUCCAGCUCAUACAAUCUUUCUGCCCCCUCUUCUGCAAUUACCCCUGAGCCUCAGGUGUCAAUGUUUGGUAGAUGUACUGACUGUGUCUGGGCUUCACAACUCUGUGUACUGAUUGGUUGUAGGUUUUUGUAGCGGUCUCUGCCCGUCACAAAGAGAAGUUUCUGUGAUGAGGGGUACAGACUACACUCUUCUGUGGGUGUAAGGACAAAUGUUUGUAGAUUGUUGUUAGAGAAUACGUUGGUUUAGUAAAUUGGUGGUUGUAGCGUAUCCUCCAAUAACCAUGACUUCACUAGCAAUGAGUAGGUGGUUAGGUCUCAAGUACAAACAUGGUUUCCCUCCUGUUGAGGCCUUAAAUCCAAAUAGAGCAGUUAGUUACCUCCAAGGUCUAUGUGCUACUGCACAGAUAGGGUUACUGGGCCAUGCUGGCUGUUGAUGUGGUUCACAGGUGUCAUAGCUGGGCAGGGUUGCUGCCUGCCUCCCUCCUUUGAAAGCCUGCAUGGUGCCUUCGGGUACCAUGAAAGCUAGUCCCCAGGGAGGGGCACAGUAACAUCUUUUAAGUUGCAGGGUACUGACCAAUUUCUGUCCUGUACAUAGUGAGGCCACAACUUGGGCCCAUAGGCUCCAUACUCAGCAUCAAUGGUUAACAGCCAGUUUAAAAGGCUCAGAGGAGCAGAGGCACAGAUGCUUGUCUCUCUGAAAGCUGUACUACCGUUGGUGCCCAGACUUAGUGCUUUAGGUUACUUGAGCCCUCCCACAGUGCCUGCCCUUCUGCAUCCCCUUCCAGCUGGCUUUUACCCCCCUUUUAAUAUUUCUAUUUACUCUUUGAGAAACUCAUAUAUUUGUAAAAUGUAUUCUGCUCAUGUCAGCUGGCUUUUUAGUAGAGGGUGAAUGUUACAGUGGAGACACCUUGGGAACAGUUACUGAUGUUGUGGGCCUGGAACUGCUGAGGGGAAGGCCCUCUGGACGAACUCCCUUCGCACCACACUCAGGGGAGUGUGCCUCGCACACCCAGGCGAAAUACAUGCUCUGUUUCUGCAAGGAGAUGCCCAUAUUUGCUUCAACAUCAACAGCUUCAGUUACACGAGUUUUCUUGUGUAUGUAGAAGCCAGUAGAUGUGGUGUGUUGCUCCGAGAAGGGGGUGGUGAGGCUGCUCUAACACCAUCUGUGUCAAGAUGUCCUUGUCGCCAAGCUCAGGUGGGCUCUCCCAAGCCCAUUAAUGAAUUAAUACCUAAAACCACAUGGUACAUCCUGGAACGGGUCUCGUGGGCCACUUCCUUUCUCUAUCUCAACACAGGGUACAUCCGAACCCUUCAGGUCCCCGAACUUGUUUGACUCUAGAUACGCAGCCCCCUGUGGUCCAGAGAGGAGUGCCAUACACACUGAAGCCAUAGCCUUCAUCUCUGGCAUGUGGGACAACAGCCCCAGGGAAGGGAGACAGAACACUAGGAAGGAGAGAAAUCUGGAAAAAGCAGGAAGCCCCCACAGGAGCCAGGCCUGGACACUUGAAUUAGUGUGCCUAACUGAGUGUUUGCUAUCUGUCUGCAUGUUUGUGUGUGGAACCUAUUCAAGACCUAUUCAAGAAAGCAUUUCUCUAGAGUCAGGCAGCACACGAGUGGAGUCAAGCAGAAUCCUGAAAGACACACCUGAAUGCCACCAUCCCAAGCUAAACCCCUCAAAGACCAAAAGCCCUCCAGUCUAAAACUCUAGCCACAGCUCUAGAGGAUAAAGGGUCUAAAUGUCACAGAUCUGAAGGCAGAAAUAGUCCAAGCUCUCAAGUAUCUGGGUGGCACUGCUGUGUCUGUGUGUCUGUGUCUCUCUGUCUGUCAUCAGAAGGGUGGGCCUUAUCUGACGUCAGCAAGGAGCACUGCGGUCAGAGACUUUGGGCCUAUUUUUAAAUUAUAUUUAUUUGUUAUUUGUGGUGUAUGUGUGUGUGUAUGAGAGAGAGAGAGAGAGAGAGAGAGAGAGAGAGAGAGAGAGAGAGAGAAUGAGAGCUCAGGAACUGGUUCUCUCCUGUUGAGAAGGUCUUAAAUCCAAUUAGAGCAGUUAGUUACCACCGAGGCUUGUUGGCUGCUGAUGUGGUUCAUCAUAUGGUAUCACAUGACAUGUCACAUGACAUGUGUUGUCAUAGCUGGAGACCUCUGGUGAUGUGCCAUUCACUACGUGAAGGUCAGUUUUCUGUUUUCCCUUUUCAACUUGCGAUUCAUUUUCUCAGUGUUUCUUUUUGAUGUUUGAGUCUAGCCUUCCCUCUGCCCUGCAUGGCACCUCGAGGAGGACAGGUGACUGCCAAUCUGUCUCCACUGGGUCCCUAGCUAUGCUCUUUAUUGAUGGAUUGGAAUCAUUCUUUUUCUCUGUGUAGCCUUGGGGAUCCUGGAAUCCUGUAGGCCAGGCUGGCCUUGAGCUCAGAGAUACACCUGCCUCUGCCUCCCAAGGGCCAGGACUAAAGGUGUGGCCCACCGCCACCUGGAAGAGUAAAUGCUAGGCUUGCCCACUAGCCCUAGUAACAAGUUAAAUACUGAGGAGACAGGUUUAUUCACUGUCUCACAAAGAAGGACAGACAAAGGGAAGCCUGCCUGCCUCACUUCCCACCAAUGAAUUCUAAGCCUUUUGUCUUCUGUCUCCGCCCAAAAGAGUUCAGAAGAUUCAGGCAACCCAAGUCUUCUUCCUGGGGACCUGCAUGGUAGAAAGAGACCUGACUCCUGCAAGUUGUCCUCUGACCUCCACACAGGAACUAUAACACUAGCAUUCACCACAGACAAGUGAAUGUAACGAUAAUGCUGAUGACAAUGAUAAUAAUAACAAUAUAAUCUUUAAAUGAAAAUUUUCAAGAUUUUGAUUUUUUUUGUUGGUCUAUUUUUGUGAUAUUUUGCUCUUUCAGAAUGUUUUAUUUUGGAAGCCUUGAUGGUAGGAAUAACUGUGUUUGAGACUGGCACUUUGGUUCACAGUUUAAACUCAGCCUUGAAUGCUCUUCUUAGCUCCUGGCCUUGACUCAGUCCUGGCACAUACUGUAAGGCUGCUGGUCUGAGUUCUUCUCUCCUAUAGUUUCAAAAAACAUAAUAGGAUAAGGCACAGAGCCCAAGUCUUGCCCCCAGCAUCUGGGAUGCUGGGGCAGGAGGAUCAUCAUUAGUUCAAGGCCAACCUGGCAACACAGUGAGCCCCUGGGUCAAAAAGACAACCAACCGAGACAAAACCAAAGCAGGAAGAAAACCCUUGCCCGAUCCCAAAUCCCUUCUCAUCUGCUGUCAGCUGCCUGAUUUGGGACUGUCCCCUGAAGGAGUGACACACACAGGGUGGGCCCUGAAGGGAGAGAAUACCUUGAGAAAACUGAAACUGGUUCCUAACACCAAGGCUGGUAAACGGAGGUUUCCAUGUGACUCCCAUCAGGGCAACAAGCCAGCAGUGCAAGAGUCAUUCCGGCGGAGGUCGUGGAUUUCAGAUUUACAGCAGGGAAACAAAUGAAACCCAUAUGCACGCGUUUCUGUGAGUCUCCGUGCGGACAGCUUAGGAAGGCGGCGGUGGCGAAUCGGCUUUGAGCUCCACAAAAAUGUGAAAUCUGAGAUUAGGAGUCUCAGCUACAGUGCAUUCUAUAGGUCACAUAGUAAAUUCCUCCUCCUCUUCCCCCUCUUCUUCCUCCCCUUCCUCCUCCUCCUCCUCCCUUCUCCUCCUCUUCCUUGUCCUCUUCUGUCUUUUGUUUUUAAUGUUUUUGAGGCUGUGAGAUGGCUCAGUGGCUAAGGUCAUCAGCUGAUGCCAUGAUUCGAUUCCCAGAGCCUCCAUGGUGGAGGGAGAGAACCCAAGUUGUCUUCUGGCCUUCAUCUAUGUGCAUCACCCCUUCCUUCCCCCAUCUUGUAUGUCUGACAUAAAUAAAUAAAUGUAAUCAAUAUUAAAUAGGUAUCUUUGGAGUUUUGAAACUGGAUUGCAUGUAGCUCAGGCUGUCCUCAAACUCACUAGGAGCUCAGACUGGCUCUGAAGCCCGGUUCUCCGGCCUCUGCCUCCCAAGUGCAGAAGCAUUUAGUUAGAGAUGGACACUACCCUGUCCUGUCCGAGCCUGGCACAAUGGUGCAGCUCUGUAGUCUCAGCAUUCGAGAGGCAAAGGUGGGAAGAUUGCUCAGAGGUCAAGGUUACCCUGAGCUGCAGAGCAAGCCCUUAAAAAAAAAAGUAAGACAAGAUAGAUUUAAUUAAAAUGACUCAGAAGCUCAAGAGAAGGAAAACAUGGCAAAAAUCCAAACCCACAACUGCUUAUAUGUUUAGUGAAAAUCAAUUAAGGGCAACAGGAAGCCAGCCAACCUAUUACGUAGGAGGAUGAAGCAUGAUUGCUUGAGACCAGAGUUCAAGGCCAGCCCACACUUACAAGGAUCUUGAAGUCAGUCUAAUCUAUGAAAGCUCUGGAUACAAGAAGGCGGCCAGAACCAGGACUGGCUCAGAAAUGACCACUGAAGUACCAAGAUACUGCAGCCUAUUUGGAGGGAGGAACCCCAAGGCCAGCCCCUUGCAGAUGUCCUGCUGGGAGCAGGUUCCUCUUACUAAGUUUGCCUCUGUGUAUGCAGGGAAACGUGUAUGCAGCUCCCUGUUCUCUUGGACGCCAGGAAACCAUCUGACAUUUGGCCCCGUAAUGACCAAUUUGGGGGCUGGAGAGAUGGCUCGGUGGUUAAACAUUUGUUGCAGAGGACCUGAGUUAGGUUCCCAGCACCCACAUGGCAGCUCAUAGCCACCUAUAACUCCAGAUGCCAAGUUCUAGGAGAUCCAAUAUGCUCUGACUUUCUGGAAUUCCAGACGUGAACUUGGUGCAUACACAAAUAUGCAGGCAAAUCAUCCAUACAGAAAAAUAAAAUAAAUCUAAUAACAAUGGCCAAUUCACCAUGUGCUCUGUUCUGUCACAUGGGUGAUACCGUCUAACUUUUAGUUCACUUUAAGUGACUUAUAUACAGGUAACAUGGCAUGAUGUCAUUUUGGUCAACAACAGGUGGCAGGUGUGAGGUUGGAAAAUUUCUGUCAUCUGGUGCCCCCAUCAGUCCCACACAAUACUCCUUUCCUGCUGUGAUGGGCACACGUCGGGGUCUGGAUGGUCUGGAUGGUGUCCCGUAUCUGAUCCCGUAUCCUUCGUCUUCUUAUCUCUCCAGGCUCUUCAAGUCGUUGCUAUGUACUCUGUGUGUGUGUGUGUGUGUGUGUGUGUGUGUGUGUGUGUGUGUGUGUGUGUGUGUAUACAGUCCACCCUGGGGCAGAACCUGACUCAGUCUCUCCUCUCUCUCUCUCUCUCUCUCUCUCUCUCUGUUGUUGUUGUUGUUGUUGUUUGGUUAUUUGAGACAGGCUCGCUAGGGUAGCCUGGAGCUUGCUUAUUUAGACCAGACUCCAGACUUGAAACAAAGAAAAGAAACAAUCCGGCUCAGGCCUUUAAGCACUUGGGAGGCAGAAGCAGGUGGAUUUCUGAGUUCUGGGCCAGUCUAGUGUACAAAGUGAGUUCUGGGACAGCUGAGGGAGGCUACACAGAGAAAUCCUGUCUCAAAAAAGGAGAAGGGAGCAGGCUUGCCCCAAACUCCGAGCUCUUCCCCUUUUGUGCUUGGACUGUAGGUGUGAACUCCCACACGAGGCUCUUCAGUCAUCCAUGAGAGUGAUUUCAUCCCUCCCAGGCUCCUGGACCAAGGUCAAGGUUUUGCCCCAGAGACUCGACUGACAAAGUCUUGAGGGGCUGUAGCAUCGGUAUGGCAAGAGGAAGGGGACGUACAGUGUCUCUUCAGGUCUUUGUCUUCUUCUCAUGCUACUGGGACACAAUUGUAGACCGAAUCUAGUCCAAAUUACUUUCCAAAGCUCCCCUCCCUCCUCAUCCUUCACAGUGAGGAUCAUAUCUCAACACUUGACGGCUUGGGAGACAUUCACCAAUUCCAAACAGCAGCGGACCCCAUUCUUGAGGGUCAAGUGCUGCUGACAGACAGCACCGACAUCCUUGUCAUGAACAACUUUUGGAUUCCAGAGAACUGAUAGCUGGCUGAGUCUGUAGUGAGCAUCCCAAGAGUGUUGGGCCCAGCCUCCUUCCGGGGCUGAGUAUAAGCAGGUGUCCACGUAGAGAGUGUUGGUAAACAGGCAGAGAAGAGAGGAUCCCCCUCCUAUGGGUACCGGCUGCGUACUGUAUAAUACUCGGACUGUCUGAAGCCCAGCUGGACCCAGGAGUGGGCACUGGUGUGCAAAGUGGGUGUGAGGACCAUGUCUCACUGGGAGAGGCAGCAGCCCUUGGUCAGGGUCUUUUGUGGUUCUGGGCCCAUGACAUGGGAGGCUCAAUAGGAGGACCAAAGCUAGGCUUCAGCAAGAUAGCUACUCCUUCCAUCUAGAACAUUCUAGGAGAUGGAGGUGGGACAGUGGGUUCAGUGGGUCUGGGAACCAAGAUGGAGGGAACUGCCAUCAACUGGUCAGUGGAGGAAGACACUGUCUCUGCCCAACUGUUCCCAAUUGGAUUAUAGGGUUCCUUGAAGUUAAGGUUUGGGAAAUAACCUUUGGGAAGUUAAGGUUCUGGGUGGCCGAGGACUGUCAUUAUUUUAGUGCCAAAGUCCCCAGGAAGUGAUAGUGUUUAAGAAAUUAUGUGAAAGCGGCUAUCCACGAGAGGAUCCCCUCACCAGGGAGGGAAGCAAGACAGCGUCCAGUGCACAGAUAUCCCUCUGAACACAAGAGUGUGCACCACCCACCCAAAGCACACACAGGGCAAACAUGAGAACAGCCACACCUUGGCAUACACCGAAGAACACCAACAGAUUAACACAUCCAAGUACACAUGCCUGAGAACACACACAGGAAGUCACACCCCUGUGAAAACACACGGAGGAUAACAGACAACCCAUCACAUCUGAGUACACACACAAGGCACACCCAGACGCAGGCAUCUAAACACACUCUGUCGAACACCUUGGAACACCGAGUUACUUGACAGAGGAGGUUGGUGAUGGACCACAUCUGCCUUAGAAGCCUGUGUCCCUUUUCCCCAGGCACAGUCCUAUCCUUGAUGCUGGGUUUGACCAAUGUCCUUUCUGCAGUGACCCCAGAGCAGCUGUUGGGGAGGAAUCCUUCCAUGGCUGGCUGUCCUGAAUUGGUCUGGUUCUGGUGGCCAAGAGGCUAGGGACACAGACACAGCUGUACUCACACUCAGGUUCCACAGGGAUAGUCAGCAAAAGCCACAGCGAGCUGUCUCCAGAUCACAGUCUGGGCUUUGUAUACAGGUGCCUUCUUUACCUCAUGGCAUACCCACCAGCACCAACGCCACCCUCCCCUUCUACACUCCUACAGGACUGCCAACUCCUUCCCCUCCACAGCUGGGAAUAGCUACUUGGACCUUCACUGACAGACCAGCCUGCAACUUCACCUUGUCUGUCUUGGACAUCUUUCUCUUAGGCCCCUAUCUUCCCACCACUCCUACCUUUGUCUCUGUUGAUACGCAGGACCCCAUCUCCCUUCCAUUCCUUUCCUUUGACAUCCUUUUCCCUGAGGUCUCUGGCUCCCUACCUUGCCCCUCCUCCUGUGGCCACUUCGGAUCACCAUUUCCCACCCCCACACUCCUACCACUUCCUCUGAUUCCCUCCUUCCUUUGGACCCUUAUCUCUGUGUCCCUACCCAGGUUUUCUCUGUUUCUUAGGAGCCCUAGCCUCUAGUCUACCCACCCCCUCCCCUGCACACCCCACUUCUCACUUUAACAAGUGCCCCUCAGCCCUCAGUGGCCUCACUCCCACCCUCAGGGUCUGAGGGUGUCACCCUCUCUCUGUUCCUGCCGCCCCCAACACGGCCCAACCCUGUCUGGGUGCUCCUGAGCAAGGGCUGCACCAGUUCACAGGCACUGCCCACAAACGACCCUGGGAGCUUUUUCUGGGAACUUUUCCCGUCAUACACGUAACACCACGGGACUGCGUUCAAAGGAGCCUGUUUUUAUCAAGCUCCAGACAUAAGGAAAGAAUUAGCUUCUUAGGAGGUAUGAUUCCAAAUCUAAAGAGUCUUGUUUUGGAAGCCUCUCCUUUGAAAAGCUGGGAAAGGCGAUGCCGCCCCUCUUUCUUCUGAACCUGUGGUCAUUCUUUUAUUUGUUCAGGCUGCACGCUGCGACAGGGAUCCAGAGAUGAACAUCUGCUUUUGGUGAGGGACGGAGCCCUGGUCCAGCAUCAAGUCAGCCAACCCACCUACCAGGGCAUCUGCCUGGGUCCUCACCAACAGACAUGGGUGCAGAACUGAAGCCAGGCAGCCACCGGGCCAGAUCCCCCACCCAGGUCUGAUAUCUGACUCUGGGCAACCCCAAUCUAAAGACAUUAAUAAAACUUUCUAAAAAAUGGUUCUUUCAUCUGAAC